AUAAACGCUGGCGGCGUGCCUCAUCCAUGCAAGUCGAGCGAACAGACGAGGAGCUUGCUCCUCUGACGUUAGCGGCGGACGGGUGAGUAACACGUGGAUAACCUACCUAUAAGACUGGGAUAACUUCGGGAAACCGGAGCUAAUACCGGAUAAUAUAUUGAACCGCAUGGUUCAAUAGUGAAAGACGGUUUUGCUGUCACUUAUAGAUGGAUCCGCGCCGCAUUAGCUAGUUGGUAAGGUAACGGCUUACCAAGGCGACGAUGCGUAGCCGACCUGAGAGGGUGAUCGGCCACACUGGAACUGAGACACGGUCCAGACUCCUACGGGAGGCAGCAGUAGGGAAUCUUCCGCAAUGGGCGAAAGCCUGACGGAGCAACGCCGCGUGAGUGAUGAAGGUCUUCGGAUCGUAAAACUCUGUUAUUAGGGAAGAACAAAUGUGUAAGUAACUAUGCACGUCUUGACGGUACCUAAUCAGAAAGCCACGGCUAACUACGUG
rnacentral:rRNA from 1 species